GAUGAACGCUAGCGGCAGGCUUAACACAUGCAAGUCGAGGGGCAGCAAGGAUUGUGCUUGCACAAUCUGUUGGCGACCGGUGCACGGGUGCGUAACGCGUAUGCAACCUACCUGUAACAGGGGGCUAACACUGAGAAAUUGGUACUAAUACCCCAUAAUACUUUGAAAGGCAUCUUUCGAAGUUGAAAGUUCCGGCGGUUCGAGAUGGGCAUGCGUUGUAUUAGCUAGAUGGUGAGGUAACGGCUCACCAUGGCGACGAUACAUAGGGGGACUGAGAGGUUAACCCCCCACAUUGGUACUGAGACACGGACCAAACUCCUACGGGAGGCAGCAGUGAGGAAUAUUGGUCAAUGGACGCAAGUCUGAACCAGCCAUGCCGCGUGCAGGAUGACGGCUCUAUGAGUUGUAAACUGCUUUUGUAUUAGGGUAAACCUUAGUACGUGUACUAAGCUGAAAGUAUAAUACGAAUAAGGAUCGGCUAACUCCGUGCCAGCCGCCGCAGUAAAAC
rnacentral:rRNA from 1 species